AAAUUGAAGAGUUUGAUCAUGGCUCAGAUUGAACGCUGGCGGCAGGCCUAACACAUGCAAGUCGAACGGUAACAGGAAGCAGCUUGCUGCUUUGCUGACGAGUGGCGGACGGGGGAGUAAUGUCUGGGAAACUGCCUGAUGGAGGGGGAUAACUACUGGAAACGGUGGCUAAUACCGCAUAACGUCGCAAGACCAAAGAGGGGGACCUUCGGGCCUCUUGCCAUCAGAUGUGCCCAGAUGGGAUUAGCUUGUUGGUGAGGUAACGGCUCACCAAGGCGACGAUCCCUAGCUGGUCUGAGAGGAUGACCAGCCACACUGGAACUGAGACACGGUCCAGACUCCUACGGGAGGCAGCAGUGGGGAAUAUUGCACAAUGGGCGCAAGCCUGAUGCAGCCAUGCCGCGUGUAUGAAGAAGGCCUUCGGGUUGUAAAGUACUUUCAGCGGGGAGGAAGGUGUUGUGGUUAAUAACCGCAGCAAUUGACGUUACCCGCAGAAGAAGCACCGGCUAACUCCGUGCCAGCAGCCGCGGUAAUACGGAGGGUGCAAGCGUUAAUCGGAAUUACUGGGCGUAAAGCGCACGCAGGCGGUCUGUCAAGUCGGAUGUGAAAUCCCCGGGCUCAACCUGGGAACUGCAUUCGAAACUGGCAGGCUUGAGUCUUGUAGAGGGGGGUAGAAUUCCAGGUGUAGCGGUGAAAUGCGUAGAGAUCUGGAGGAAUACCGGUGGCGAAGGCGGCCCCCUGGACAAAGACUGACGCUCAGGUGCGAAAGCGUGGGGAGCAAACAGGAUUAGAUACCCUGGUAGUCCACGCCGUAAACGAUGUCUACUUGGAGGUUGUGCCCUUGAGGCGUGGCUUCCGGAGCUAACGCGUUAAGUAGACCGCCUGGGGAGUACGGCCGCAAGGUUAAAACUCAAAUGAAUUGACGGGGGCCCGCACAAGCGGUGGAGCAUGUGGUUUAAUUCGAUGCAACGCGAAGAACCUUACCUGGUCUUGACAUCCACAGAACUUUCCAGAGAUGGAUUGGUGCCUUCGGGAACUGUGAGACAGGUGCUGCAUGGCUGUCGUCAGCUCGUGUUGUGAAAUGUUGGGUUAAGUCCCGCAACGAGCGCAACCCUUAUCCUUUGUUGCCAGCGAUUAGGUCGGGAACUCAAAGGAGACUGCCAGUGAUAAACUGGAGGAAGGUGGGGAUGACGUCAAGUCAUCAUGGCCCUUACGACCAGGGCUACACACGUGCUACAAUGGCGCAUACAAAGAGAAGCGACCUCGCGAGAGCAAGCGGACCUCAUAAAGUGCGUCGUAGUCCGGAUUGGAGUCUGCAACUCGACUCCAUGAAGUCGGAAUCGCUAGUAAUCGUGGAUCAGAAUGCCACGGUGAAUACGUUCCCGGGCCUUGUACACACCGCCCGUCACACCAUGGGAGUGGGUUGCAAAAGAAGUAGGUAGCUUAACCUUCGGGAGGGCGCUUACCACUUUGUGAUUCAUGACUGGGGUGAAGUCGUAACAAGGUAACCGUAGGGGAACCUGCGGUUGGAUCACCUCCUUACCUUAAAGAA
rnacentral:rRNA from 1 species